rnacentral:rRNA from 1 species
GAUCCUGGCUCAGGAUGAACGCUAGCUACAGGCUUAACACAUGCAAGUCGAGGGGCAGCAUGGUCUUAGCUUGCUAAGGCCGAUGGCGACCGGCGCACGGGUGAGUAACGCGUAUCCAACCUGCCUUACACUCUUGGACAGCCUUCUGAAAGGGAGAUUAAUACAAGAUGUUAUCAUGAGUAAGCUAUUUCGCAUGUAGUUAAGGUUUACCGGUGUAAGAGUGGGUAUGCGUU